rnacentral:rRNA from 1 species
CAGUCGCCGCGGGAAUACGAAGGGGGCUAGCGUUGCUCGGAAUUACUGGGCGUGAAGGGAGCGUAGGCGGACAUUUAAGUCAGGGGUGAAAUCCCGGGGCUCAACCUCGGAAUUGCCUUUGAUACUGGGUGUCUUGAGUAUGAGAGAGGUAUGUGGAACUCCGAGUGUAGAGGUGAAAUUCGUAGAUAUUCGGAAGAACACCAGUGGCGAAGGCGACAUACUGGCUCAUCACUGACGCUGAGGCUCGAAAGCGUGGGGAGCAAACAGGAUUAGAUACCCCCGUAGUCCCUGUCUCUUAUAC